UAUACGACCGUACCGCAAACCGACACUGGUGCGCGAGAUGAGUAUUCUAAGGCGCUUGAGAGAACUCAGGAGAAGGAACUCGGCAAAUUGACACCGUAACUUCGGAAGAAGGUGUGCCCUAUUAGUGUGUAGUGAACAACGAAGCAUGAAUGGGUUGCAAAAAAUCGGUGGCUGCGACUGUUUAUUAAAAACACAGCACUCUGCAAACACGAAAGUGGACGUAUAGGGUGUGACGCCUGCCCGGUGCUGGAAGAUUAAAUGAUGGGGUGCAAGCUCUUGAUUGAAGUCCCAGUAAACGGCGGCCGUAACAAUAACGGUCCUAAGGUAGCGAAAUUCCUUGUCGGGUAAGUUCCGACCUGCACGAAUGGCGUAACGAUGGCCACACUGUCUCCUCCUGAGACUCAGCGAAGUUGAAGUGUUUGUGAUGAUGCAAUCUCCCCGCGGAAAGACGGAAAGACCCCAUGAACCUUUACUGUAGCUUUGUAUUGGACUUUGAACAGAUCUGUGUAGGAUAGGUGGGAGGCUUUGAAGCAGGGUCGCUAGAUCUUGUGGAGCCAACGUUGAAAUACCACCCUGGUGUGUUUGAGGUUCUAACCUAGGUCCAUUAUCUGGAUCGGGGACAGUGCAUGGUAGGCAGUUUGACUGGGGCGGUCUCCUCCCAAAGCGUAACGGAGGAGUUCGAAGGUACGCUAGCUACGGUCGGACAUCGUGACGAUAGUGCAAUGGCAUAAGCGUGCUUAACUGCGAGACUGACAAGUCGAGCAGAUGCGAAAGCAGGACAUAGUGAUCCGGUGGUUCUGUAUGGAAGGGCCAUCGCUCAACGGAUAAAAGGUACUCUGGGGAUAACAGGCUGAUACCGCCCAAGAGUUCAUAUCGACGGCGGUGUUUGGCACCUCGAUGUCGGCUCAUCUCAUCCUGGGGCUGUAGCCGGUCCCAAGGGUAUGGCUGUUCGCCAUUUAAAGAGGUACGUGAGCUGGGUUUAAAACGUCGUGAGACAGUUUGGUCCCUAUCUUCCGUGGGCGCUGCAGAUUUGAGGAAGCCUGCUCCUAGUACGAGAGGACCGGAGUGGGCACACCUCUGGUGUAUCGGUUGUCACGCCAGUGGCAUUGCCGAGUAGCUAAGUGUGGAAGAGAUAACCGCUGAAAGCAUCUAAGCGGGAAACUCGUUUCAAGAUGAGAUCUGCCGGGGCCUUGAGCCCCCUAAAGAGUCGUUCAAGACCAGGACGUUGAUAGGUCAGGUGUGGAAGC
rnacentral:rRNA from 1 species